UUACUAUCCACAACCCAUUCGGGAAGAAUGUCAGCAAUACGAAACAGUUCUUACAAUGAUGUCAGGAGAGAGAGAGAGAGAGAGAGAGAGAGAGAGAGAGAGAGAGAGAGAGAGAGAGAGAGAGAGAGAGAGAGCGCACAGAAGCCGAUCACGCAGCGGGUAACGAGGUGCACGCUGGCACAGCACGCGCGGGCGCACGUCAACACGACUUUCCUAUGGCAUCUGGGCUUUAUAUUGGUCUUGAUCAAAAAGGGUCAAGAAUUCUGCGUAUAAGGAUGGAGUUCACCUUCGAAGGACCAUCAAGCCAUCAGAGCCCUCAGGACACCACACACACUCAAGCACAUAGAUGUGCACACACAUGAGGUGAGAAGAAACCAGAGAUCAUGGAAGAACCACAGCUGGACAAAGGAAGAACAUGCACAGAAACGGAACGAAAAGUAACCCAAGGUCAAGAUCAUACUGGAAACCCUGGAACUAUGAGGAGGCAAUGCUUCAUUAGCAUUAUAUGCACUUACAUCGAAAUCAUGUUUAUAAUUACAUUAUGAUUUUUGCAAUAAUAGAAAUAAAUAACUUUAAUUGUUCUGACUACAGUCCCUUUAUAAAUUAGAAUCAGAAAGGUCUUUCAGAAAGGUCUUUAUUGCCAAUUAUGUUUUCACAUACGAAGAA